UAGCUCAGUUGGUAAAGAAUCUGCCUAAAAGGCAGGAGACCCAGGUUCGAUUCCUGG
rnacentral:tRNA from 1 species